rnacentral:rRNA from 1 species
CGGUCUAGUCUAUUGGAACAUAGCGUCAUAGAGGGUGAGAAUCCCGUAUGCGACCGCUGUCCGAGCCCAUGCGAAACCUCUUCGACGAGUCGAGUUGUUUGGGAAUGCAGCUCAAAAUGGGUGGUAAAUUUCAUCUAAAGCUAAAUACCGGCUGGAGACCGAUAGCGCACAAGUAGAGUGAUCGAAAGAUGAAAAGCACUUUGGAAAGAGAGUUAAACAGUACGUGAAAUUGUUGAAAGGGAAGCGCUUGCGACCAGACCUGCCCGGGGGUGAUCAGCCGCUGUUCUCAGCGGUGCACUCGCCCUCCGAUCAGGCCAGCAUCGGUUUCGGCGGUCGGAUAAAGGCCUUGGGAAUGUAGCUCCCUUUCGGGGGAGUCUUACAGCCCUCGGUGCAAUGCGGCCAGCCGAGACCGAGGACCGCGCUUCGGCUAGGAUGCUGGCGUAAUGGUUGUAAGCGACCCGUCUUGAAACACGGACCAAGGAGUUGAACAAAUAUGCGAGUGUUUGGGUGUCAAACCCAUGCGCGGAAUGAAAGUGAACGGAGGUGAGACCCCUGAAGGGCGCAUCAUCGACCGAUCCAGAUGUCUUCGGAUGGAUUUGAGUAUGAGCAUGUUUGUUCUGACCCGAAAGAUGGUGAACUAUGCCUGAAUAGGGUGAAGCCAGAGGAAACUCUGGUGGAGGCUCGCAGCGGUUCUGACGUGCAAAUCGAUCGUCAAAUUUGGGUAUAGGGGCGAAAGACUAAUCGAACCA